rnacentral:rRNA from 1 species
AAAGGUAAGCUACUAAGAGCGAAUGGUGGAUGCCUUGACUGGUAAAGGCGAUGAAGGACGUACUAGACUGCGAUAAGCUACGGGGAGCUGUCAAGAAGCUUUGAUCCGUAGAUUUCCGAAUGGGGCAACCCAAUGUAUAGAGAUAUACAUUACCUAUAUAGGAGCGAACGAGGGGAAUUGAAACAUCUUAGUACCCUCAGGAAAAGAAAUCAAUAGAGAUUGCGUCAGUAGCGGCGAGCGAAAGCGCAAGAGGGCAAACCCAGUGCUUGCACUGGGGGUUGUAGGACUGCAAUGUGCAAGAGCUGA